rnacentral:rRNA from 1 species
UUAAGAUACUAAGAGCAUACGGUGGAUGCCUUGGCGAUAUCUGCCGACGAAGGACGUGACAAGCUGCGAAAAGCUGCGGAGAGAUGCAAAUAAUCGGCGACCCGCAGACAUCCGAAUGGAGAAAUCCGGCUGUGAUGAUGCACAGCCAUCCAUGCCCAAGAGCAUGAGAAGGGAACCGGGCGAACUGAAACAUCUAAGUAGCCCGAGGAAAAGAAAUCAAACGAGAUACCCCAAGUAGCGGCGAGCGAACAGGGAAGAAGCCCAAACCGGUGAAGGAAACUUUACCGGGGUUGAGGACCAUCAGAACCGCGAAGAACUUUAGCCGAAACUGUUGGGAAACAGUGCCAAAGACAGUGAAAGCCUGGUAGGCGAAAAAGAGAAACGCGGAGAUGGUACCAGAGUACCGCGGGACACGAGAAAUCCCGUGGGAAGCAGGGGGGACCACCCUCCAAGGCAAAACACAGAUAUCGACCGAUAGCGCAUAGUACCAUGAGGGAAAGGUGAAAAGCACCCCGGGAGGGGAAUGAAAGAGAACCUGAAACCGUAUGUUUACAAGCAGUCGGAGACCGCUUAAUAAUAAGGUCGACGGCGUGCCUAUUGAAGAAUGAACCGGCGAGUUACGAAGCCUGGCAAGGUUAAGCAGGAAAUGCGGAGCCGAAGCGAAAGCGAGUCUUAAGAGGGCGCAAGUCAGGAAGCGUAGACCCGAAACCACAGUGAUCUACCCAUGUCCAGGUUGAAACACAGGUAAAAAUGUGUGGAGGACCGAACCUAUAUCCGUUGAAAAGGGUUAGGAUGAGGUGUGGGUAGGGGUGAAAUUCCAAUCGAACGUGGAGAUAGCUGGUUCUCCCCGAAAUAGCUUUAGGGCUAGCCUCAGGGAAAAGAUUGCAGGCGGUAGAGCACUGAUCAGGAGAGGGACCUACCCGGUUACCAAACCCAGUCAAACUCCGAAUGGCUGCAAUCAUACCUGGGAGUCAGACUGCGACUAAUAAGGGCCGCAGUCAAAAGGGAAACAGCCCAGACCAUCAGCUAAGGUCCCCAAUGCCGUGCUAAGUGGCGAAGGAUGUGGCAUUUCAUAAACAACCAGGAUGUUGGCUCAGAAGCAGCCACCAUUUAAAGAGUGCGUAAUAGCUCACUGGUCGAGAGACGCUGCGCCGAAAAUGUCCGGGGCUCAAGCACGGAACCGAAGCUAUGGCAUGAUAGCAAUAUCAUGGGUAGGGGAGCGUUCUUAUAAGGAAGAAGCAUGACCGGAAGGACAUGUGGACGAAUAAGAAGUGAGAAUGCCGGUAUGAGUAUCGAAAAGAAAGGUGAGAAUCCUUUCCACCGAAAGCCCGAGGGUUCCUGAGCAACGAUCGUCGACUCAGGGUAAGUCGGGACCUAAGCCGAGGCGAGAAGCGUAGGCGAUGGACAACAGGUUGAAAUUCCUGUACCGGAUCAAGUCGAUCGAGCGAAGGAGCGACGCAGGAGGGCACAUGAUCGCGCGGCUGGAAGAGCGCGUCCAAGUGCGUAUGUUGCAGCAGAGGAAAACCCCUGCAGCUAAAAGCAGAGACAUGAUGGGGAGUUAAAGGAAACUUUGACGAACUCAUGGAUCCCACACUGCCAAGAAAAACUUCUAGCGAGACAAGAUCCGCCCGUACCGUAAACCGACACAGGUAGGCGGGGAGAGAAUCCUAAGGUGCGCGGGAAAACCCUCGUUAAGGAACUCGGCAAAUUGCAUCCGUAACCUAGGGAGAAGGAUGGCCCCCGGUCAGUGAAGAGCAGAAACGCUCAGAGCUAAAAGGGGCGGCAGAAAAGAGGCCCAAGCAACUGUUUACCAAAAACACAGGUGCCUGCGAAAGCGAAAGCUGAAGUAUAGGUGCUGACGCCUGCCCGGUGCCGGAAGGUUAAGGAGAGAAGUUAGCGAAAGCGAAGCAUCGAACUGAAGCCCCGGUGAACGGCGGCCGUAACUAUAACGGUCCUAAGGUAGCGAAAUUCCUUGUCGGGUAAG